GACGGAGGAGGCAAGCGUUAUCCGGAAUUAUUGGGCGUAAAGCGUCCGUAGGUGGUUAUUCAAGUCUUUUGUUAAAUAGUGGAGCUCAACUCCAUAGAGGCGGAAGAAACUGAGUAACUUGAGUGCGGUAGGGGUAGAGUGGAAUUCCUGGUGUAGCGGUGAAAUGCGCAGAUAUCAGGAAGAACACCCGUGGCUAAGGCGGCUCUCUAGUACGGUACUGACGCUGAGACGCGAAAGCGUGGGGAGCGAACAGG
rnacentral:rRNA from 1 species